AUGCGGCCCUGAGCAGCAGGUAGCACCAGCAUACCGCAACGCAUUUUUUACAUAGGCAGCGAGCAUACUGGGAAGGGUCAAGUCCGGGGGCCCCGACAUCGGUUCUCCUGGAGGCACCUUAGCCAUCGCGGUUGCGCUGCCUCAAGGGCGUAGCUCUCUGGGUAUUCGGCUGUGUUCGGUGGCGUCUGCCGCUGCAACCGUGGGUCCGGUGCCAGAAGCGAAGCGCCUUUGCGUUAGCCGCUUCAGUGGUGCGGUCUGGGCGCACGCGGUCUGCAGCCGACACUUGAGGUGCGCUGCGUCCGCGGCUUCGGCGCUCGAUAAAACCGUACUGCGGAUACCCAAGCGGUAGCAGGCACAGGCUGAUCGCCCCGCGUUUUCACUGUCUCGGACCCGAUGGUCCAUGUGCUCUAGACCCAGAGGUAAGCGGUGCCUUCGCACGGAGCUGCGACGAGCGUUCCCUGGGGCAAGGUGCGGCUACCGGCGUGGCUAGGAGCAGAGCGCUGCGCCCGCCGCAAGUCAAGUCCUACCUGCGACCGUUGAGGCAGCAGAGGCCGUCCACGACAGCGAGCACUCGAGCGCGGCACGGUGACCGGGUCCAGGAUCCAGUCGACAAGCAUCGGCUCUUGAAGACCCUGCUUGUACCGAAUCUACCAAGGAGGUCGCACAGAAUCGGGCUAGCUUUACUGUACGUGCGCAGUUGCCAGAACGAAGAGCCAGAAAAGCUGCUCGACGUCAAAGUUCGUUCUGUCUUUGUGAGGCGCACUCGAGGAUACCAGAGCCGAGCACCUGGCCUAGCAGGGGCUUCUGACGGCAUAUCCAGCAACGUCGUUGACGUUUCUAUGUCGUUGCUGACACAGUGCGACCAGCCCCGGCAUAUUGCACCUCCUGGCUGAUAACGUCAACCAGCUUUGCAUUCGGGUGGUCUGCAUGAAGCGCCCGAAUGAGCAUAACCUCGCGGGAAUACCGUUUACAUCAAGACUCUCCAAACUAUGCGGACUGGAGCCCGCGUUAUCUUUCGGAGCUAGCGAACCCGCCGAAACCCUUGCUGUACAGCACGUUCAGUGAGUCGGCCGAGCACUUGCCGAAACAGGUCGCUUGCAGGCGGUGCGAGCUCCAGUAGCCACUCGAGUGCGUCGGGAGCUGGAAGCCACGGUACCAGCGGCAACAAUCGCGGUACAAGCGAUACCAUUGGCAACGCCCGCUGCGUGCUUCCUCGUGACCAGUAGCUGUCCGAUUGCUUUUGUAUUCCUGCUGUGAGCAGUGUCGGGGUCAGCUCACCGAGAAACUGCACCAGCUCACGCAACGUCUCAAGCUUGGCGAUAUCGUGAGGCGCACGCCGCCCGCGUCGUCUCGGAUCCAACAGGAGCUCGACGCCAUCGACAAUCUCGUCCACGAGGAGCUCUCGCAGAACCUUACCGCCAUCGCUCGCCAGCACAAACCGCAACGCAGCUCGCAUAGCUGCAGCAUCCAUCUGUUUCGGUGGAGCGUCAAAGUCUACAAAUGCUUUGCCAUCGAUAAGGAGGCCCUGGCUUGAGCUGAUCAGUGUACGCAACCGGGCGAUCCGCAGACGCGACCCGUUCGCGUAGAGAAUCUCGCGCAGUGCCUUGCGUAAA
rnacentral:misc_RNA from 1 species